rnacentral:rRNA from 1 species
AUUGAACGCUGGCGGCAUGCCUUACACAUGCAAGUCGAACGGCAGCACGGGACUCGGGCAACUGAGCCCUGGUGGCGAGUGGCGAACGGGUGAGUAAUGCAUCGGAACGUGCCCAGUAGUGGGGGAUAACUAGUCGAAAGAUUAGCUAAUACCGCAUACGACCUAUGGGUGAAAGCGGGGGAUUUUCGGGCAACCGAGAACCUCGCGCUAUCGGAGCGGCCGAUGUCNGAUUAGCUAGUUGGCGGGGUAAAAGCCCACCAAGGCUUCGAUCAGUGGCUGGUCUGAGAGGACGACCAGCCACACUGGGACUGAGACACGGCCCAGACUCCUACGGGAGGCAGCAGUGGGGAAUUUUGGACAAUGGGCGCAAGCCUGAUCCAGCCAUGCCGCGUGC